rnacentral:antisense_RNA from 1 species
CUUCACAGAGCCGAGCCACAACGGCCGCUCGCCGUCCCGCCCCUGCCCGUACGUCGCGAGCAGCGCCUGCGCCUC